rnacentral:rRNA from 1 species
GACGAACGCUGGCGGCGUGCUUAACACAUGCAAGUCGAACGGAAAGGCCCUGCUUUUGUGGGGUGCUCGAGUGGCGAACGGGUGAGUAACACGUGAGUAACCUGCCCUUGACUUUGGGAUAACUUUAGGAAACUGGGGCUAAUACAGCAUAGGAGCUCCUGCUGCAUGGUGGUGGUUGGAAAGAUUCGGCGGUUGGGGAUGGACUCGCGGCUUAUCAGCUUGUUUGUGGGGUAGGUGCGUACCAAGGCUUUGACGGGUAGCCGGCCUGGGAGGGUGACCGGCGACAUUGGGACUGCGAUACGGACCAGUAGCCUACGGGAGGCAGUAGUGGAGAAUCUGACACAAUGGGCGGACGCCUGAUGCAGCAACGCCGCGUGCGGGAUGACGGCCUUCGGGUUGUAAACCGCUUUCGCCUGUGACGAAGCGUGAGUGACGGUAAUGGGUAAAGAAGCACCGGCUAACUACGUG